CAAGUUUGUGUGUUGUUCUUUUUAAGCUCAAUUUGAAUAAAAUGCUAAUGUAAAGAAAAGGCUCUUUUUCAGGAUGCCAUCACAAACCAGACGUGUUACAGAUGAUUUGUUUGUUUGUGAACUGCAAUUUCAUCCAUUCACACAGAGGCAUAAAUACAAUAUACACACUUGUGUCAGUUC